rnacentral:rRNA from 1 species
GACGAACGCUGGCGGCGUGCUUAACACAUGCAAGUCGAACGGUGAAGCCUUCGGGUGGAUCAGUGGCGAACGGGUGAGUAACACGUGAGCAAUCUGCCCUUGACUCUGGGAUAACUUCGGGAAACCGGAGCUAAUACCGGAUAUGACAUCUGGCCGCAUGGUCUGGGUGCGGAAAGAUUUAUCGGUCAAGGAUGAGCUCGCGGCCUAUCAGCUUGUUGGUGGGGAAUGGCCCACCAAGGCGACGACGGGUAGCCGGCCUGAGAGGGCGACCGGCCACACUGGGACUGAGACACGGCCCAGACUCCUACGGGAGGCAGCAGUGGGGAUAUUGCGCAAUGGGCGGAAGCCUGACGCAGCGACGCCGCGUGAGGGAUGAAGGCCU